AGACGUGUGCUCUUCCGAUCUGGGGGAUGUCUUGGCAUCAGAUGGCGAUGAAGGGCGUGGAAGACUGCGAUAAUCUUGGGGAAGUUGUCAAACGAGCGUUGAUCCCGAGGUUCCUGAAUUAUCAUAUACUGAAUACAUAGGUAUGUGAGGCACACGCGGUGAACUGAAACAUCUCAGUAACCGCAGGAAAGGAAAGCAACAGCGACUUCGUGAGUAGCGGCGAGCGAAAGCGAAUCUAGCCUAAACCGUCUUGCUUCGGCAUGGCGGGGUUGUGGGGCUUGUCAUUGUGGAGUUACAAAACUGUUUGCUAGAAGAAUUCGUUGGAAAGCGAAACCAUAGAGGGUGACAGUCCCGUAUUUGAAAGUGAACAGACUUCCGACAGGUACCCGAGUAGGUCCGGCCACGUGGAAUCCGGACUGAAUCUGGGAGGUCCAUCUCCUAAGGCUAAGUAUUCUCUGAUGACCGAUAGUGAAAAGUAGGGUGACCGAAAGAUGAAAAGAACCCCUGUUAGGGGAGGGAAAGAACCUGAAACCAUACGCUUACAAGCUGUCGGAGCACUAUUAUCUUCGGAUAAGUGUGACGGCGUGCCUUUUGCAUAAUGAUCCGGCGAGUUACCGUCAAUGGCUCGAUUAAGGCCUUCCGGGCCGAAGUCUCAGCGAAAGCGAGUCUGAAUAGGGCGUUUUGUCAGUGGCGGUAGACGCGAAACCAGGUGAACUACCCAUGAGCAGGUUGAAGCGCGGGUAAGACUGCGUGGAGGACCGAACCCACCUAGGUUGAAAACUGGGGGGAUGACUUGUGGGGAGGAGUAAAAGUCUAAUCAAACCUGGAGAUAGCUCGUUCUCUCCGAAAUAGCUUUAGGGCUAGCCUUGAGCCACUACGUAAUGGGGGUAGAGCACUGAUUUGGACUGGGGGGCUUCCCGCCUACCCACCCUAGUUAAACUCCGAAUACCAUUACGAUUAUCUCAGGAGUCAGUCCACGAGGGAGAAGCUUCGUGGUCGAGAGGGAAACAACCCAGAUCGCCUGCUAAGGUCCCAAAGUCUUGCUAAGUCACUAAGGAUGUUAAGAUACUGUGACAGCCAGGAUGUUGGCUUAGAAGCAGCCAUCAUUUAAAAAGUGCGUAAUAGCUUACUGGUCGAGUGUUUUAGCACCGAUAAUGAACGGGAGUAAGUAAGACACCGAAGCAGCGGAUUCAGCUUAUGCUGAGUGGUAGGAGAGCGUUCCAGUGCAGAUACUAGCCGUACCGUAAGGAGCGGUGUUGGGCACUGGAAGUGAUUAUGCCGGAAUGAGUAACGAUAAAACAGGUGAGAAUCCUGUUCGCCGCAAACCUAAGGUUUCCUGGGGAAGGUAAUUCCGCCCAGGGUUAGCCGGUACCUUAGUUGAGGCCGAAAGGCGUAGACGAUGGAGAGCAGGUUAAUAUUCCUGCGCCGGAUAUGUGGACCGAUGGGGGGACGUUGUGUAGAUUGUGAUCGGGCUGACAGAAAUGCCCGUAGGGGAAGACAAGGCUGUGGAUAGGAAAAUCCGCCACAUCAAGCCAAGGCUUUCACUCGAGUCCAAUGAUGACGAAGUCAUAUGACGCAUAACCAAGAAAAGCCUCUAAGGAUUGAAGCAUAUCUGACCGUACUAAAACUGACACAGGUAGGUGAGGCGCGUAGCCUAAGGCGCUCGGGAAAACGCUGGUUAAGGAACUCUGCAAAAUGACCCCGUAAGUUCGCGAUAAGGGGUGCCUCCGAUGGUUCACGCUGUUGGAGGUCACAGUAAAUCGGCUCUGGCGACUGUUUACUAAAAACACAGGACUCUGCGAACUCGUAAGAGGAUGUAUAGAGUCUGACGCCUGCUCGGUGCCGGUAAGUUAAGGAAGAGGGUUAGCCUUCGGGCAAAGCCAGCGACCGAAGCUCCGGUAAACGGCGGCCGUAACUAUGACGGUCCUAAGGUAGCGAAGUUCCUUGUCGGGUAAGUUC
rnacentral:rRNA from 1 species